GCUCGCGGGUACAAAAAUUUAUACGUGAAAAGGAUAUACAUUAUAAUUUCUUAUUAUUGUCAUUUGAUGAACUUUGGUCAACCAUAUUCAAAAUUGUAUGUGAGCAAAUCAGUAUGUUUUAACACGUCGUGUGUCAUAUAGCGUAACAACAAUUCAGAUCAAAAUUUUAAAUUGUCGUUUGGUACCCACUACUUACAUUUAAGAUGAC
rnacentral:lncRNA from 1 species